UAUGGCGGAUAGUGCUGAUAUUGACUCAAUUUGACUGGUCUAGGCAGUGUUCUUACUUGGUGUAAGCCGAGGGUUUAAAAUUUUCUGGAAGAUCUGAAUUAGACUCCUGCAUGAAUAUACCCAUAUCUAGCUUAACGGACCUGUACAGUAGUUUAGUGUUCUUAAAAAUACGGCACGCAUUCUUUGCUGUACAGCAUACCUCUUAGGGCAGAAGUAGGAAGCACAGCAUUUUUAUUGUUCUCGCUUAGAGUGAGAACAGUAUAUGGCUGUACCCUUCGUGAGUGAGUACUACAUUUGUCAUUUUUUAAUACGCUGUACAUUAAGCGAAAUUAUAAGGACAGCUUGUCUGUGCUAUUAUACAACUGUGCAGAUGAGUUCAGUAUUAUUCGACACGUGCAUAAACAUGGAUAGCAAAGAAAACGACGCUCGUGCAAUGAACGCACAGAAAAUGUAAGUUUUUGUUGCAAUAAAAUUAUGUAUUACCAUUAUAUUAUAUACAAAUCUAUUUUGUAACUAGAAAUAUCUGUUGUUUUACAUGUUUGUGAUUGUCUUUUGUAUGUUUGUGGUAAUAUAGUGCCCGAGUCCCAGGCAAAAACAGUGAUUGUCGAUUAUACAUACAUACAUAUGUAUGUAUGUGAAUAUUAAUUAUUACAUAUAUUGAAACUAAAUUGUUUGAAAUCAGACUUUACCGUUGGACAGAUCAAAUGAGUCUCUAUUUAAGGAGUACGCUGCGGUUAUAAAAUCUAAAUUAUGGCUGACUUCAUAAACGCAGUUUGCAAUGCAACAUUGCAAACAGAUGCGUUAACGUAGCAAAGCAAUACUUCACGGCAACACUGUUUUGUAAAAUAAUGCAAUGACAUUUUAAACGUUUAUGAACGUAAAAUUGGUUCGCCGAACAUCGUUUGUUGUGUUCCAUUAAAUAAUGAAUCUUCAGCAAUCCUGCGCUUUUGUUUUGCAAAGCGCUUUAGAAUUGGCUGAAACAAAAAAUACAAGCAACACCACAUUAAUUAAAAAUAUAUUAAAUAAAAGAAAGCGCCGGGCUAUUAGAUUAUUAAUGAAUCGCGAUUCAAAAAGAAGGAUUCCUAAAACUUCAAAUUUUUGCAAAACCAUUGAAAUGAUGCAAGAUGACGUGUUUUACUCGCACUCUACAGAUAUUACAGAGCAUGAUAAAUUUUUGAUGGCCUCCGCACACAACAGGACGAAUUGGAAUUUCAUUGGAAAAAUCAUUACAAAUAACGAUUUGGAAGCUGGGCAACAAUUGCUCUUUUAGAGACGUCAGCGAUCGAUUUGGUGUAGCAAUUGGCCUAGCAUAUAAAAUUUUUGUUAAAAUAAUAAAAAUGAUCUGCCGCUUAAAGGGAGAUGUUAUAAAGUUUCCAAAAACUGCAGCUAAACAAAAGCAAAUCAGUGAAGAAUUUUCAAUUCUGCGCUUCAAUUCAUUCCCCUUUGUUCUAGGGUGCGUUGAUGGAACACAUGUUCCAAUUUCACAACCAAUCAAAGAUGAAAUCAGUUAUCGUAACCGAAAGGGAACAUACUCAAUCCUUGCUCAAGCUAUUGUCGACAGUCGCAUAAAAUUCAUAGAUGUAUUUAUUGGUUGCCUUGGUGCAUGCCAUGACGCAUCGGUAUGGCAAAUGAGUUCUAUCAGGAAGGCCAUAAUUAAUAAAGAAAUUAAUAUUUAUUCCAAUUACCAUUUUUUGGGCGGUGGAGGUUAUCCGUUGGAAAAGUUUAUUAUGGUACCUUAUCGUGAUAACGGAUUCUUAACAGCAAUGCAAAUAAAGUAUAAUGUAAUUCUAAGCUCAACUCGGGUUGUUGUGGAACAGGCAUUUGGCAUUUUAAAAAAGAAAUUUAGAAUACUAAAAUAUAUUGAAGUUCAACGUCCAUAUAUGCCAAAAUUAAUAACAAUGGCGGGUAUGAUAAUUCAUAACAUUAUUAUUGUAAAUGAAGGCAGCAAUACCGAUGAAAUAAUAGAAGAAACAAACAUCAUCGAAUUUGAAACGCUCGAAGAAACCACUUUAUCAGGACCGAGAGAUGCAAAAGCAAAGAGAGAUGCAUUGGCAACUUUAUUAUCAGCCUAGUACGUACAUAUGUACCUUUAUCAAUUAAAUUAUAAGUUAAGAGCAUUUUGUUUUAACAUGUUUUAUUGAAUUCAAUUAAUUACAAAAAAUUUAUUGCAUUGA